GAUGAACGCUGGCGGCGUGCUUAACACAUGCAAGUCGAACGGAAAGGCCCAAGCUUGCUUGGGUACUCGAGUGGCGAACGGGUGAGUAACACGUGGGUGAUCUGCCCUGCACUUCGGGAUAAGCCUGGGAAACUGGGUCUAAUACCGGAUAGGACCACAUUUUGGAUGGUGUGGUGGAAAGUUUUUCGGUGUGGGAUGAGCUCGCGGCCUAUCAGCUUGUUGGUGGGGUAAUGGCCUACCAAGGCGUCGACGGGUAGCCGGCCUGAGAGGGUGUACGGCCACAUUGGGACUGAGAUACGGCCCAGACUCCUACGGGAGGCAGCAGUGGGGAAUAUUGCACAAUGGGCGCGAGCCUGAUGCAGCGACGCCGCGUGGGGGAUGACGGCCUUCGGGUUGUAAACUCCUUUCGCUAGGGACGAAGCGUUAUGUGACGGUACCUGGAGAAGAAGCACCGGCUAACUACGUG
rnacentral:rRNA from 1 species